UUUAAUAUGGCAGAAUAGUGCCUUGGAUUUAAAUUCCAAUUAUAAAGAUUUUAAUCUUUUAUUAAAA
rnacentral:tRNA from 1 species